ACACCGUUGGUGAAGUGGUUAUCAUGCUUGCCCACUGCGCAAGCGGCUUGGGUUCGAUUCCCGAACGGUACA